GAAAAGAGAAGUUCCACUCACCUCUGGCUGACUCUGUACUCACUCUGCAGGUUCUGACCCUGUGCUCACUGCUGCUCUCUGGGGUUCCUCUGGUCCGUUCCUACACAGGUGGACUCAAAUGAGGGACCAAACUAACUCAAGAACAUUUCUAAGAAACUCCCCAAAAACCCUCUAAAAGAUCCCCAAACAAGCACAUAAAACAUGCAAAAGAAAGCUGGACAGGGCACUUUCGGCGGCAGGUUCGGCGGCCGAAACACCGCUCUAGAGACGAAACUCAUGCAUGUUCGGCGGCACCUUCGGCAGCCGAAAGUCUCAUCCAGAGACGAAACUCAACCUUCGGCGUCACUUUCGGCGGCCGAACCUUACCUCCAGAGACGAAAGUCCCAAGUUUCGGGGGCAAGCUUUGGCAGCCGAAACUGCCUCCACAAGGGGUUCGGCGGCCGAACCUUCCUUCGGCGGCCGAACCUGGUUUUGCCCGCUGGGCAGAACCCUGCUCUGUUUCAUGCAAACCUUUCCCCCAAACUUACCCAACUACUCCCAACUAGCACAUACUAGCACAUACCAUAAAACAUGCACAAAGGGGCCCAAAACGAGCCUCAAACCUCAAACAAACACAUCAAACAACACUUCACAUGCUUGACCAUACACAUCUCCCAAAAACCUCACCUAAACCGAAUCAUGCAUACUACCCAUCAAACUUUCAUAAAACCUUUAAAAACCAUCAAAGAAGUUCAGGACCCACCCUUACCUCCUUAAGAACUUGAGGAUGAGUGAUCCUAACGUGGAGAGAUGAAGAAAUCCUCUUCCAAAGCUCCAAACUUCCAAACUUACUAUUUUUGCUCAAAACCUUCAAAACACACCAAAACUCUUAAAACCCUUGAAAGAUUUGGUGAAAAACAUGAAAAACAUGAAAGUCAACUUGGGAGGGGCUUGAACUCACCUCUAGCUGCAAGUGGAGGAGACAUAUCCUCCUGCCACCGACCUUUGGCCCUUUUAUAGGUGGCUGGCCAGACCACCUUCGGCAGCCGAACAUGAAUCCGAAACCAUGCAAUGUUCGGCAGCCGAAAGUGACCUUCGGCGGCCGAACCUUUGCAUUUCUCCCUUCUUGCUUUUCUUUCAAAACUCAUUUCCUUUAACACUAGAAAACAUUCAAAACUUUUAAAACACACAUGAAAACUCUUAACACACACAUGAACACAUAGGUCUUACCCUUCUCGCGGGAUCCGACACUCGAGAUUCCACCAGACGACAGGAAUUCCGAGGCUGGACUCGAGCCGGGUAUUACAUUCUUCCCCCCUUAAGAACAUUCGUCCCCGAAUGUUCCUCAAACAACUAAACAGAUAAACACAUAGAUAAGGGGCAAAACUAACCUUAAAACAGAUAUGGGUAUUGCUGGAGCAUCGACUCCCGUGUCUCCCAAGUGCACUCCUCUAGGUUAUGGUGGUUCCACAGGACUUUCACCAUUGGUAUCUCCUUGUUUCUCAGCUGUCGAAUCUGGGUGUCAAUGAUCCGCACUGGCUGCUCGACAUAGGUGAGAUCGCUUAAGAUUUCCACCUCAGGCUCACUAAGAACCUUCUCUAGAUCUGACACAAACUUUCUCAACAUAGAAACAUGAAAUACCGAGUGAACUCGUUCCAUCGAUGCAGGUAAAUCCAGCUUAUACGACACAGGCCCGAUCUUCUGCACGAUCUGAAAGGGACCUAUGUACCGUGGAGCUAAUUUACCCUUCUUUCCAAAGCGAACCACUCCCUUCAUUGGAGACACCUUUAGCAAUACCAUAUCCCCCUCCUGGAACUCUAUCUGCUUCCUACGGAUGUCUGCAUAGCUUUUCUGUCUGCUCACAGCUGUUCUGAUCCUCUCUCUAAUGAUAGGCACUAACUUGCUGGUAAUCUCAACUAACUCUGGCCCUGCAAGAGCCUUCUCUCCUACCUCUUCCCAGCAAACAGGUGUUCUGCACUUCCUCCCAUACAGAGCUUCAUAAUGAGCCAUUCCUAUGCUAGCAUGAUGGCUGUUGUUGUAGGCAAACUCCACCAGAGGUAGAUGCUGCCUCCAAGAACCGCCAAAGUCUAACACACACAUUCUCAGCAUAUCUUCUAUGGUCUGGAUGGUCCUCUCUAACUGACCGUCUGUCUGUGGAUGGAAAGCAGUGCUGAAAUCCAAUCUUGUACCCAUAGCAGCUUGCAGACUCCGCCAAAACCUGGAGGUGAACUGCGGUCCUCUAUCUGAUACUAUCGACACUGGAACUCCAUGCAGCUUGACUAUCUCUUCGACAUAGACCUGCGCUAACUUGUCCACAGAAUAGUUGCUCCUGACUGGAAUGAAGUGAGCAGAUUUCGUCAGUCUGUCCACAAUCACCCAUAUGGAGUCUAGCCUAUUGGACGUCGCCGGUAACCCCACUACAAAAUCCAUAGCUAUGUUCUCCCAUUUCCACUCUGGAAUCGGCAGUGGGUUAAGCAUUCCAGCCAGCUUCUGGUGUUCUAGCUUCACCCUUUGACAUGUCUCGCAGGCUGACACAAACUGUGCCACUUCUCUCUUCAUCGCUGGCCACCAAUACACCCUUCUCAGGUCUUGAUACAUCUUGGUGGCUCCAGGGUGAACGCUAUACCUCGCACUAUGAGCUUCCCUCAUAAUGUCUUCCUUCAAACUGCUAUCAUCUGGUACACAUAAUCUCUUACCGUGCCGAAGAAUCCCCUCACUGUCAAAUCUGAACUCUGCACUGUUGCCAGACUGAACAGUCCUGGCAAUCUUCACUAACUCAGGAUCUUCGUGCUGUUUCAGAGCCACUUGCUCUAGAAACACUGGUGUCACUCUCAUCUGUGCAAUCAACGCACCUGUACCAGAUACCUGCAACUGGAGCCCUUCAUCCAUGAGUCUGUAAAAGUCCUUCACCACCGGUCUUCUCUCUACUGCAAUGUGGGAUAAACUGCCAAGUGACUUCCGGCUUAAGGCAUCAGCUACAACAUUAGCCUUACCCGGAUGAUAUUGGAUCUUACAAUCGUAAUCACUGAGCAAUUCUACCCACCGUCUCUGCCUCAAAUUUAACUCUCUUUGACUCAAGAUGUGCUGUAGGCUCUUAUGAUCUGUAUAGAUCUCACACUUUACCCCAUAGAGGUAAUGCCUCCACAUCUUAAGUGCAAAGAUAACAGCUGCCAUCUCAAGAUCGUGUGUCGAGUAAUUCAGCUCGUGCCUCUUCAGCUGUCUGGAAGCAUAAGCUAUCACUCUGUCAUUCUGCAUUAACACACAACCUAAUCCCACUCGGGAUGCAUCACAGAACACUGUGAAAUCAUCCUCACUGAUCGGCAGAGCUAACACCGGUGCUGAAGUCAACCGUCUCUUCAACUCUGCAAAACUCUCAUCACAAUCCUCUGACCAUACGAACUUCUGAUUCUUCCUGGUCAGUCUGGUCAUAGGAGCAGCUAUCUUCGAAAAGUCCUGAACGAACCUCCGAUAGUAGCCUGCCAAACCCAGAAAACUCUUGAUCUCUGUCACUGUCGUGGGUGUAGGCCAAUUGGCUACUGCCUCUACCUUCUUGGGAUCUACUGUUAUUCCUUCCUCUGAGACGACAUGUCCCAAAAAGGCGAUGCUCCUUAGCCAGAACUCGCACUUGGAGAACUUGGCAUACAAGCCAUGUUCUCUCAAAGUUUGCAACACUACCCUCAGAUGCUGGGCAUGCUCCUCGGCAUUCCUGGAGUACACCAAGAUAUCAUCUAUAAAGACGAUCACAAAACGAUCCAAGUACUCCCUGAAAACCCUGUUCAUGAGAUCCAUGAAUGCUGCAGGGGCAUUCGUCAACCCGAACGGCAUCACUAGGAACUCAUAAUGCCCAUAUCUGGUCCGAAAAGCAGUCUUGGAUACAUCUCCUUCCCUGAUCUUCAACUGGUGGUAUCCGGAUCUCAGAUCUAUCUUCGAAAAACAACCUGCUCCUGACAAUUGGUCGAAUAGAUCAUCGAUCCUGGAUAAAGGAUACUUAUUUUUGAUAGUGACUUUGUUCAACUAUCUGUAGUAGACACAAAGUCUAAGAGGUCCAUCCUUCUUUCUGACAAACAAAACUGGAGCACCCCAAGGGGAGGUACUCGGGCGGAUGAAACCUUUUGCUACCAAAUCCUGUAACUGUUCUUUCAACUCUCUCAACUCUGUUGGCGCCAUCCUGUAGGGAGGAAUAGAGAUCGGUCUGGCACCGGGCAUCAACUCUAUCUCGAACUCUAUUUCCCUAUCAGGUGGUAGUCCUGGAAGCGCUUCAGGAAACACAUCUGGGAAUUCUCUAACAACUGGUACUGAGGAUGGUUCCCUAACCUGACUGUCUAGCUCUCUCACAUAAGCUAGAAACCCCUGACACCCCUUCCUCAACAUCCUACGAGCCUGAAGGGCUGAUAUCAAACCCCUAGGUGUCCCUCUCUUGUCUCCUCUGAAGACACACUCUAACCCAUCUUGGUCUCUGAGACUCACUACCUUGUCCCUGUAGUGCAAGGUAGCACUAUAGGUAGAUAACCAAUCCAUCCCUAGAAUGACAUCAAAAUCUGUCAACUCUAGAACCACAAGGUCAGCUGGAAGGCAUCUAUCCUCUAUAAACACUGGACUGAACUGACAGACUGACUCUGCCAAUGAUGGGUCACAUCUAGGUCCACUGACCCAGAGAGGACACUCUAACUCAGAUACAAUCAACCCCAAUCUCUCUGCGGCUCUAGAAGAAAUGAAAGAGUGAGAAGCACCGGGGUCCAUUAAAGCAUACACUUCUGAACACCCAAUGAUGAGAGUACCUGACACCACUGUGUUCGACGUGUCUGCCUCCUGUUGUGUCAUGGUGAAAAUCCGUGUUGGAGCUGACGGACCUGCACCUCGGGAACCCAUCCCUGAUGAAGAGGCUACCCCUCUUCCUCUACCUCUGCCACUGCUUGGUGGACGGGCUGAAGCUGCUGACUGGACAACACUACCUGAGGUCAUCUGCUGGGAUGGUGCAACCAAAGUCGCCUGAGGACAUUCCCGUGCAUAAUGUCCCUCCUGCCCACAUCUAUAGCAGGCUGUAGAUCCCAACAAACAAGCUCCUCUGUGCGGUCUCCCACACCGAUUGCAAACUGGAAGAUCUGUGCCCAAACUGGAGCUGCUACUCAUUCCCAUACCCGACUUAAGCCUGUUCCAGAACUUGCCUCUUUUUCCUCUGAAUUUAUCCCAUCUCUUCUUGCUCGCACUUGCUGUACUCUGUGCUGAGGAACCUGGUUUAACACCAGAAGACUGUGCCUUUGAUUGCUUGACUACUCCCUGACUUAUGGCACUGGCCUCCAUGUUUCUAGCAGCAUCCACAAUAGAGUGGAAACUCUCCUUCUCCGCGUGGAGAAUCAAAGAGAAAUACCUGGGAUGAAGCCUUGUGGCAUAUCUCUUUGCCUUCUUCUGAUCCGUAUCAUAUGCCUGACCCACGUAUGGUAACAAUUCCAGAAACUUAUCUGUAUACUCAUCAACACUCAUCUCCUCCGUCUGUCUCAACUGUUCGAACUCCACAACCUUUAGCUCCCUGGAAAUGUCAGGAAAAGCCCACCCAGCAAAUUCGUUGGCGAACUCUUCCCAUGUCAUACUAUCUCUUCUGGGGUCCACAUAGUUCUUGAACCAUUCUCUGGCUUUCUUACAUUUUAAUGUGAACCCUGCCAUCUCAAUGGCCCUGCUCUCAUCUGCUCCCAACUCACUUGUUAUCAUUCUGACUGCACUGAGAUACUCAAAGGGAUCAUCUCCCGUAUUGAAUUUAGGAGCAUCCAACUUUAAGUACUCCGUCAUCUUCACCUUAGUUCCCUCUGAAGAACUGGGUUGGACUUCAACAACAGGGGCUACUGGUUCAAGUGGUGGUGGUGGAGGUACUGUUUCUCUGGCUUCAGGCUGUACUGGACUUGGAUGAAAAGGUGGGGGUGGAUACAUAUGAUAUGGUGGAUAAAAGGAAAGAUAGGGCAUAUAUGGCAUGUAGGGUGGAUAUGGGGCAAAGCCGGAGUACUCCGACGUACCUCCCAUCGGAUCCCUUGGGCCCUGUGGAAAGGGUGGAUAGCCAAACCCCGAGGCCUGUACGCCUCCCUGGGACUCCCCCAUACCUUCUUCUGACCUUCCUACACCCAUGCUUACAUCUCUACUCUGAGCCUCCUCCCUAGCCACUCUCUCUUCUUCUGAUCUUCCCCCUCUGCCUAUUCCUCUUCUGCUCUCGUCAGAAGACCUUCGAGGGUCUCUUGACGUUCCCUCCCUGCUUGACCUGUGAGUCCUUGCCCUUGGCAACGCAGGAGGACGAGCAGCUGUACCCUCACUUUCAGGUGGGACUCCAGUCAAUCUCGCGGAUCGACGAGUUCCUCGCAUCUUAACUCUCGCUGGAAACAACACAUAAUAGCGCACAUAAGCAACACAUAGAGGAAAACAACACAUGCAUCAUGGCAUUACUCAUCAUCAGCAGAUAGACAGGACUCACAUCCUAUCCUAGUGGACAUGUUUUCCUACUGUGCUUGACCAACUAAAUCUCUAUGAGCCCAACUCUCUCUCUAUAGGUCCGAUCAUGUGAACCUAGGGCUCUGAUACCAAUCUGUAAUAGCCCAAAAACCGAACCGCUACCGGCACUAGGAUCCAGAUCGACUUAAGGUCGCCGGGACCCGUAGUAAGCCUGCUAUCCUGUCUGUGUACCUGUGAAAUCCCAUACAUGAUCAUAUAGUUUCUGUCAAACAUUAAAACUUUUCUUUCCUCCCAGGGCUUAACAACACAUGCAUCAUGGCAUUACUCAUCAUCAGCAGAUAGACAGGACUCACAUCCUAUCCUAGUGGACAUGUUUUCCUACUGUGCUUGACCAACUAAACCUCUAUGAGCCCAACUCUCUCUCUAUAGGUCCGAUCAUGUGAACCUAGGGCUCUGAUACCAAUCUGUAACAGCCCGAAAACCGAACCGCUACCGGCACUAGGAUCCAGAUCGACUUAAGGUCGCCGGGACCCGUAGUAAGCCUGCUAUCCUGUCUGUGUACCUGUGAAAUCCCAUACAUGAUCAUACAGUUUCUGUCAAACAUUAAAACUUUUCUUUCCUCUUAGGGCUUAACCUGUGCAUGCACUAGUUCUGAUCUCUCUACUCAUAGUGUUAAGCCUGGUUUUCUCAUAGAUAUCAUCAAUAAAGGAAACACACAUAUAUAAACUGACCAUGUAUAUACAACAAGGGAUUACAACUCUCUAAGUCAAGCACAAGUCUAUACACUGUACACUAUCUCUUUACAAUUACAUGUCCAUACUAGCUAUUACAUAACUUUUCUUCUUCCAUACCCUGCUGAACUCCCUCUGACCUCUGACCCUGCAAACCUGGGGGAUAGGGGAGAGGAAUGAGCUAUACAAGCCUAAUGAGCAGAACUAUAAAACAUGAGUUGAAAACAUGAUCUCAUGGAAUGCACUACAUCACAUCAUCUCAGGGAUCAGACAUGACCACCAACAAUCCCACUCAAGGAUGCCUGACCUAGUCAGGUCUUACAACCUCCGUCUGCCUGGCCAGGCCAGGUCUUACACUCUGCCUGCCUAGCCCAGCCAGGUCUUACUAUCUCUGCUGCCUGAUCUAAUCAAGUCUUACCUACAGAUGUCUGCCUGGCCCGGCCAGGUCUUAUAACAGAGUUUGGGCUAUUGGAGUCGCCUUGGUCUAUUCCCAGCCUCAUACACAUCGUAUAUGCAAUGCGUCAACUUCGUGCAACUAAUGCAAACACCCUACUAUACUCUUAUGAUGCAUGACAUAUGCUCAAAAUAGUUUACUUCUGAAAAGAGAAGAUCCACUCACCUCUGGCUGACUCUGUAAUCACUCUGCAGGUUCUGACCCUGUGCUCACUGCUGCUCUCUGGGGUUCCUCUGGUCCGUUCCUACACAGGUGGACUCAAAUGAGGGACCAAACUAACUCAAGAACAUUUCUAAGAAACUCUCCAAAAACCCUCUAAAAGAUCCCCAAACAAGCACAUAAAACAUGCAAAAGAAAGCUGGACAGGGCACUUUCGGCGGCAGGUUCGGCGGCCGAAACACCGCUCCAGAGACGAAACUCAUGCAUGUUCGGCGGCACCUUCGGC
rnacentral:lncRNA from 1 species